rnacentral:lncRNA from 1 species
GUACUUAUACUGCUUCAUAAAGGCUUCACCUAAAUCAUUGAACGUGCAGAUACUUGCAAUGUCUAGCCCCAUAUACCAUCUCAAAGCAGCACCAGUCAGACUGUCUUGGAAGUAGUGAAUCAAUAAUUGAUCGUUAUCAGUUUGAGUUGACAUUUUCCUGGAAUACAUAACAAGGUUACUAAGUAGACAUGUAUUUCCCUUAUACUUUUCAAAGUCAGGGACUUUGAACUUGAUCGGGAUCUUGACGUUUGGCACUAAUCAAAG